GGACUGAGACACGGCCCAGACUCCUACGGGAGGCAGCAGUAGGGAAUCUUCCGCAAUGGACGAAAGUCUGACGGAGCAACGCCGCGUGAGUGAAGAAGGUUUUCGGAUCGUAAAACUCUGUUGUGAGGGAAGAACAAGUACCAAUUAACUACUGGUACCUUGACGGUACCUCACCAGAAAGCCACGGCUAACUACGUGCCAGCAGCCGCGGUAAUACGUAGGUGGCAAGCGUUGUCCGGAAUUAUUGGGCGUAAAGCGCGCGC
rnacentral:rRNA from 1 species